GAUGAACGCUGGCGGCGUGCUCAACACAUGCAAGUCGAACGAACCUUCGGGUUAGUGGCGGACGGGUGAGUAACGCGUGAGAAUCUGCCCUCAGGAGGGGGAUAACGGCUGGAAACGGCCGCUAAUACCCCAUAUGCCGCGAGGUGAAAUGAAUUUCGCCUGAGGAUGAGCUCGCGUCUGAUUAGCUAGUUGGUGGGGUAAAGGCCUACCAAGGCAUCGAUCAGUAGCUGGUCUGAGAGGAUGAUCAGCCACACUGGGACUGAGACACGGCCCAGACUCCUACGGGAGGCAGCAGUGGGGAAUUUUCCGCAAUGGGCGAAAGCCUGACGGAGCAACGCCGCGUGAGGGAUGAAGGCCUCUGGGCUGUAAACCUCUUUUAUCAAGGAAGAAGAUCUGACGGUACUUGAUGAAUAAGCCACGGCUAAUUCCGUG
rnacentral:rRNA from 1 species